UGGGGAAUAUUGCACAAUGGGCGAAAGCCUGAUGCAGCGACGCCGCGUGAGGGAUGACGGCCUUCGGGUUGUAAACCUCUUUCAGCAGGGAAGAAGCGAGAGUGACGGUACCUGCAGAAGAAGCACCGGCUAACUACGUGCCAGCAGCCGCGGUAAUACGUAGGGUGCAAGCGUUGUCCGGAAUUAUUGGGCGUAAAGAGCUCGUAGGCGGCCUGUCGCGUCGGUUGUGAAAGCCCGGGGCUCAACCCCGGGUCUGCAGUCGAUACGGGCAGGCUAGAGUACGGCAGGGGAGAUCGGAAUUCCUGGUGUAGCGGUGAAAUGCGCAGAUAUCAGGAGGAACACCGGUGGCGAAGGCGGAUCUCUGGGCCGAUACUGACGCUGAGGAGCGAAAGCGUGGGGAGCGAACAGG
rnacentral:rRNA from 1 species